rnacentral:lncRNA from 1 species
GUAAUAAAGACAAUUCAUCUUGCUAAUACUGAUGAGUUUAUAUCUCAACUUUUAUUGAUUGAGUUUGAAAAACUUUUGUAAAAGUUUGCGGCAUAAUUGUUUAGAGAAAUUAUUGAUUAAACAGAUCUAAAUUGUAAUACCUCAAUUUUGCCCGGCCCAUUGGAAGCCAAGGCAUAAUCCAAAAUUUCAAAAUAUAAAGUCUCUUAACAGUCCUUUACCCAAAUACAAAAGCCAAAACGGCAGGCCCAAAUACAAGAGACCUUACCCAGUUACAAUAACCAGCAGGCCCACUAUUACAUCCUACCCAGAUACACUAAAACUAAGACUCAUUAUGUAACACCCCGUACCCGAGACCGUUGCCGGAGUCGGACACGAGGGGUUCACAGACUAAGUUCACUUACUAUUGCAGUCCAUUUUAAAAUUUUUCUAGGCAGUCGGCUAACUGCGUCACUGUCACCUUAAAAAUCAUAUCUUGAGUUUCACAACUCGAAAAUCAGUUUCGUGAUUUUUCCCUGAAACUAGACUCAUAUGCCCAUCUACAUAUUUUUUUCUAGAAUUUUUGGUUGGGCCAAUUAAUACAGUUUAUUAGUCAAAGUCUCCCAUGUUACAGGGAUCGACUACACUGACCUUUGCGCAUUACGACUUGGAUAUCUCCCUGCACAGAGCUUCAAUACUGAUGCCGUUUGUUUCUAUAGAAACUAGACUUAGAGAGGAAUCUAUACAUAUAUGGCAUGACUCCUAAUUAUCUCUGGUUAAUUUGUAAUAAAUUUCCAAAUUCGGAACAGGGAGUCCAGAACCCGUUCUGGCCCUGUCUCACGAGAACCUGAAUAUCUCUUAACAUACUGUCCAUAUGAUCGUUUAGUUACUUUCCUAUGAAAAUAGAUUCAUUAAGGUUCGUUUACAUAAUUUAUUCAAUAUUUAAUUCCAAUCCUACUAUUUUUAGUGAUUUUCCAAAUCUACAUCACUGUUGCUGCCAGCAUCUGCCUUUAGGGUAGACUUUACCUACUUCAUAGUUUCCAUGAUUCAACUAGCCCUUUUAGCAUAAAUAGCACAAAUUAUGAUAGUGAUUAACCAUUCCAUACCAAAUGAUUAUAACAUUAUGCUCAAACAUAUAUAAGCCAUUUUCGCAUGGCUAUAUACAUUAACCAAAAUAUUCCUCCGCCACUAGUCUAUUUUAUACAUGCCAUAAGAUAAUCCAAAACAUAGCAGUACCAAACAGUGGAUAGUGAUAGUGUGACUAGUUGCUGACGAUCCCCGAGCCUGUAGCUUCGCAAUGAGAUCUAUAAAACAGAGGAAACAGAGUAAACGGAGUAAGCAUUACAAUACUUAGUAAGUUUUAAGCAGUGUCAACAGAUAACAAUCAAAUUAUAACAUAGUUGUUCGUAUUUUUAUUUCACUCUUCCUUCGGGCAUACCAUCCCUUUACCGAAUACGCACAUCUCAUAGAUUGCUCUCGUAUGCAUCACAUAACUACCUUAUGAUUUAGUGCAAAUCAAGCUCACAUAUAAACUUGGAGUACAUACUUGUUUAACCUUUCGCAUUGAAUAUAUUUAUAAGCAAUUCUUAUUACGAAGUCUUACCCGGACAUAAUCUCCACACGAAGUUAUCGGGUCUUACCCAGACAAAAUCCCCACACGUAGUCAUCGGGUCUUUAGAGCUCGGAUAUAGUACGAGCACGAAGCUUACGGAUAUUAAUCAGUGAUAAUAUUCUCGCAUAAAGCCUGCGGGGUUUUAACCCGGAUAUAGUACUGACACAAAUGCCCUUCGGGACUUAUCACAUUUAUACACUUUCACAUCCAUCACGUUGGCCACUCGGCCCUGUCACAUAUAUAUACUUUCACAUUCAUCACAUCGGCCACUAGGCCUUAUCACAUAUAUACACUUUCGCAUUCAUCACAUCGGCCAUUAGGCCCUAUCACAUAUAUAUACACUUUCACAUUCAUCACAUCGGCCAUUAGGCCCUAUCACAUAUAUAUACACUUUCACAAUCAUCACAUCGGCCAUUAGGCCUUAUCUCAUAUAUACACUUUCACAUUCAUCACAUCGGCCAUUAGGCCUUAUCACAUAUAUAUACUUUCACAUUCAUCACAUCGGCCAUUAGGCCUUAUCACAUAUAUACACUUUCACAUUCAUCACAUCGGCCAUUAGGCCCCAUCACAUAUAUAUACACUUUCACAUUCAUCACAUCGGCCAUUAGGCCCUAUCACAUAUAUAUACACUUUCACAUUCAUCACAUCGGCCAUUAGGCCUUAUCUCAUAUAUACACUUUCACAUUCAUCACAUCGGCCAUUAGGCCUUAUCACGUAUAUAUACACUUUCACAUUCAUCACAUCGGCCAUUAGGCCUUAUCUCAUAUAUACACUUUCACAUUCAUCACAUCGGCCAUUAGGCCUUAUCACGUAUAUACACUUUCACAUUCAUCACAUCGGCCAUUAGGCCUUAUCUCAUAUAUACACUUUCACAUUCAUCACAUCGGCCAUUAGGCCUUAUCACGUAUAUACACUUUCACAUUCAUCACAUCGGCCAUUAGGCCUUAUCACAUAUAUAUACACUUUCACAUUCAUCACAUCGGCCAUUAGGCCUUAUCACGUAUAUACAGUUUCACAUUCAUCACAUCGGCCAUUAGGCCUUAUCACAUAUAUAUACACUUUCACAUUCAUCACAUCGGCCAUUAGGCCUUAUCACAUAUAUACACUUUCACGUUCAUCACAUCGGCCAUUAGGCCUUACUAUCAUUUCAUAUUCGAAUACUCAUAAACUUACAAUACCACGAUUUAGAAUUCAAGUAUGGGUUUAAUCAAUAGCUUAUGAGCAACUAAAACAAGUUUAUCAAGGUUCACAACAUAAUCUCAAAUUCAGCACAAGCUGUUUUUCCUGAGUAAUAGUCACUAAAUUAUUUAUAACUGGAGGUACAAAACUCCAAAUCACUUUCCAUUAAUUUUUCCUGAAUAUAGACUCAUAUAUCUUCCAUCCAUAAAAUUUCCAGAAUUUUAGGUUUGGCCAAUCAAUACCAGAGUUUUCUUAAAGUUUCCCCUGUUUCACUGUUUGACUAAUCUGACCACUCUUCACUACGAAUCAAAUUUCUCAUUUUACAGAAUUCGAAAUGUGUUGUAUUUGAUUUCAUUUGAAACUAGACUCAUUAAGGAGUCUAAGCAUAUAAAUUUUAUCUUAUAACCAUUUUUGUACAAUUUAUAAUGAUUUUCUAAAAACAGAACAGAGGAUUACAGUGUCAUUCUGCGCUGUCUCACACAACUUUAAGUAUCUCAUUAUCGGAAAUUCCUUUGCUUACACAGUUUCUUUUAUAAGAAACUAGACUCAUUAAGCUUUAAUUUCAUGUCUCAAUCAGCCUCUAAUUAAAGUUCAUGAAUUUAUGGUGAUUUUCUAAAGUCACGUUACUGCUGCUGUCCGAAGCAGACUAUUUCAAAUUACCCUUAAAUUCCCAAGCUCAAACACUUAAGAACUUACCAUUUGAGCUUAGAACAUAUCAUGGCCACAUCUUAUCUUAUUAAAUCAACUCAUCAUGUCCUAUUAUAAUUGAAUUUACUCAACGUUUAAACACUUAAAACUUACCUCGGAUGUUGUUGAACGAUUUCGGCGGCUAUUCGAUCACUUUUUCCUUUCCUUUAUCCAACUUUGGUCCUCUAAGCUCUUGAGCUUAAUUGAGUAAAUUAAGUAUAUCAACUUCAUAUACUUCACUUAAUCAAAGCAAGAAAUACAAUUAUCCUCACUAUCUCACACAUAUACGUUCAGUCAAUCAUUACUAUGUUACAAGUCAAGCCUAACUUAGGCUAGAUCGAACAUAUAUAAUCUUUUAACUCAAUUUACGAAUCAAGACAUAUUAGUUAUCAAAGGUUGACCAUGAUACACAUAGUGAGCUCCAUUUUUUUAACUCACAUUCGGCACAUAAAAACAUACACAAAAUUUUCCACACAAGCUAGUAUUUUAGCAAUUAAUAUGACACAAGUUAAACCAAAAGUUUACAAUAACAUUACAAGGUACAUACAUAGGGUCCAUAUACAUGUUUAUUUUAAAACACCACCCUUUAAACCCUCUAGCUCUACUUACAAAAGACUCUCGUAACUAAAAUCCAUAAGUCAUCCAAUUCCACCAUUUCAAUAAGUAUUUUAUACCAAAUCUAAUAACUAAAUGUCAUUAAUGAGAUUCAUACCAAGACCGAAUAUUCAUUAACAACCAAAGCAUAUAUUCAACAAUUUAACAAUGUGUUUAACCUCCAUGGCCGAAUAGAUCCUUUCUAUUCCAUUUAACUACCAUAAAUUUAAAAUAUUUAAAUCAAGUUCAUGAGUUUCUAAUUUCAUUACUUCAACCAUUCAAAGCCUAUCUAAUUUCUCAAAUAGAUUUCUAAUACAAGAAUUAAGCCAACCUACUAAUCUUGACACCCACAUUCGGCAAGUGACCACACACACACUCUCAUAACCGAAUUUCCAUACUACUAAAACCUCUAUACACAUAUUCCCCUUAUUCAUCUUCAAUUUAAGCUCCCAACUCAUAAAACAUAAGGAAUAGAAAUCAUCUUCUAAGUUUCCUACCUUAACCGCAUGCCCAAAUCACCACAAGGAUCAAAAUUCACACAUGGGCUCAAUCAAAGACCUAUCCAUCAACUAAAAUUUCAUAAAAUCUCAAAGAAUUUACCUAAAACUUACCUUAAUUAAGCAAGUAGAAGACCGAAUGGCUAGCUUCUUCCCUCCUCCUCUCAAUCCGGCCAAGAAGAACCAAAGAACACAACUUGUUUCCUUUCCUCCUUAGAACAUUCGGCCAAAGAUGUUCAAGGAUGAACACUUUUUUUUUUCUUUGUUUCCUUUCUUCCAUUCAUGGAAAAGGGGGGGGGCAUGGAUGAGACCAUUUUUUUUUCAUCACUCCACCUUUUUGCAGUACUUUAAUCCUAACCCCCUUUUUUUUAUUCUUUCUAACAUAACUCACUAACACAACAUGUUUGCAACAUGUUUCCACCCAUAGCAUGGCCGGCCACUAUGCUUUAAUUUUGGGUAAUUUGACAUGCAAACCCAUCAUUUCACAACAUGCAUUAUUAGGCCACUUUACAUUUGCCUAGCACAUUUCCAAAUUUUCUCACAUAAGUCCUAUUUGAUAAAAUUCACUUACUAUUAACAAAAUUCAAACAUGAAAUUUUCACACAUGCAUAUGUACAUAUAAUAAGCAUCAACUAUGACGGUUAAUUAUCUUUAUAACUCGGUUUAGUGGUCUCGAAACCACUUUCCGACUAGGGUCACUUUAGGGGUGUUACAACUCUUCCCCCCUUUAGGGAUUUUCGUCCUCGAAAAUUUCUACCGAUGCAUAGUUUAGGAUAACGUCCUCUUAUUGAAUUAUAUCCAUAUAAACAUUAGCUCAUCGAUAGCAAUUGUAAUUCAUUACUGAUUUCGCAUCGAUCCAUAAAAUCAUUUUCUUAUCUUAAAACAAAUACAUAAACAUUUCUACAAGUAUGCACAUAUUAACAUGUAUAAUUCACAUCAUCAACCCACAUAUUUGUAACCCACAUUUUCAUUCAUGAAUAAGCUGUAACCUAACCGAAAGUACACAUAUACUCAAACAUCCCAAUAAAUAUCCUUUAUAACUUUAUCACAUCUCAAUAUUCAACUAAACUCAUUUCCAAAGGAAAAGUCAACUUCCACGUACCUGAACAUUUAGUUCAUUUAGCACAUUCAAUCAUAGUUAACGUUACCCGUAUAUAGUCGAAUAGGCAUAAAGCCUAAUAUAAUACACUGGCAUGAGAUUUAUUCUAGCGCAUAACUCGUAUAUCCAAAAUUAUCAACAUUCAUCAAAAAUUCUUUCAAACUUUCGAAUGUCGAAACUUAAUCAAAAUAAUUUCUUGAACAAGAUUAACAAAAUAGUGUCCAUUCAGCAAUAGCACAUAUAGCUCUUACAAUGCCAUAUCCUAGAUAUGGUCUUACAUAUUCUCACAUAUCGAGCCGAUGCCAUGUCCCAGACAUGGUCUUACACACUAUCUCAAAUCAAUGCCUUCGUCCCAAACGAGGUCUUACAUGAAUUCCACUUCACACACUUAGUGCCCACUGACCGAUCUCGCACUCAUAGUGCUCGGUUAAAGGAAUUCACACACACACAGUGCCUCUAAUUAUUCACAUACAUAGUGCUCUUAUUCAUUCGUUAAUACACAUUGAUAUGACUUAACCAAGUCUAUAAACAUCAUGUAUGUACACUUUUAAACAUAUCAUCUCAUUUAAAUUUGAAUUCGUAUAGUAAUGAAUACUUAAAACUUUGCUCAACUUACCGGCACGAAGCCUACUAGGCACGAAGGCCCGAAUACACGUCACCAGCAUGAUUGCUCUUCGGGACCUAGCCCGGAUAUAACGCCAGCACGAAUGCUCUUCGGAACUUAGCCCGGAUACAUCACUAGCAUGAAUGCUCUUCGGGACUUAGCCCAGAUACAUCACUAGCAUGAAUGCUCUUUGGGACUUAGCCCGGAUUUAGUAACUCGCACCAAUGCCUUCGGGCUUAGCCCGGAAUUAGUAUCUCGCACAAAUGCCUUCGGAUCUUAGUUCGGAUAUGGUCACUUAGCACAAAGCCUUCGGGACUUAGCCCGGACAUCAUUCAAAUAACCAUGCACAUUUAACAAUAAAUCAUGACACAUUCGUAUUUCAUUUUCAUUAGCAAAAAUCAAACACAAGACACUUAUCAUUCUUGCAAUUUCGGCUCAAUAGCCACAGACAAAGAGCAUGAUUUUGAUUUGCUUAAAACAUGAUCUAAUCAAAUCAUAAUUUAAGCUCUAUUACUCAAGGACUUACCCCUUUCCGCUGUCCGAAAUUGACUCGGUAAGGUCGCACCCUUAAUAUAAAUAAUUGAUAGAAAAUAUAUAUAUAGUGGGUUUGCACACAUAGUGCUUAAUAAUCAACCACGCACACUUAGUGCCAUGUACUUUAAACUCGCACACUUAGUGCCAUGCAUUUCAAGCCCGCACACUUAGUGCCAAUCUCACAACCGUGAACACUUAUUGCCCGCACACUUAGUGCCAAUCUCACAACCGUGAACACUUAUUGCCCGCACACUUAGUGCUGAAAACCAACCACUCUAUACGCUUCACUGCCUUUUUACAUUCGACAAUUUCGUCUCUACAUACAUAUACACAUAUAGCAAUACACAUUAGUAUAUCAUUUACAUUACUUGAAUACAAACACAACAUGCUUAUCGACCAUUCAACUUCCAGUUCCAUAGCCACAUACAAAAAUCACAUUUAUAGUCAUAACACUCUUUCAAAAUUGCAUCACUUAUACCCUUAUAAUUCAAUCCAAAUCGAACUUCAAAUACGAGUACAUGAUACGUACCUGAUCAACUUAAUAAUUUAGGCAUAUCUAAGUGAAGUUAUAUCGCAAAUUCUCAUAGUCAGAAGCUUGCUACAGCUCGAUCGGGAUCAAGAUUCAUUGCAAUACAGCAAACACAUUUUAAUAGCCAAAAAUCAUCACACUAUCAUUUUAUCACUUUAUGGCAUGUAUAAAUAGACUCACGCGUGCUACGUUAGUCCUAGAAUCGACUAAACCGUAGCUCUGAUACCAAUAAAAUUGUAACACCCCGUACCCGAGACUGUUGCCGGAGUCGGACACGAGGGGUUCACAGACUAAGUUCGCUUACUAUUGCAGUCCAUUUUAAAAUUUUUCCAGGCAGUCGGCUAACUACGUCACUGUCACCUUAAAAAUUAUAUCUUGAGUUUCACAACUCGAAAAUCAGUUUUGUGAUUUUUCCCUGAAAUUAGACUCAAAUGCCCAUAUACAUAUUUUUUUCUAGAAUUUUUGGUCAGGCCAAUUAAUACAGUUUAUUAUUCAAAGUCUCCCAUGUUACAGGGAUCGACUACACUGACCUUUGCGCAUUACGACUUGGAUAUCUCCCUGCACAGAGCUUCAAUACUGAUGCCGUUUGUUUCUAUAGAAACUAGACUCAGAGAGGAAUCUAUACAUAUAUCGCAUGACUUCUAAUUAUCUCUGGUUAAUUUGUAAUAAAUUUCCAAAUUCGGAACAGGGAGUCCAGAACCCCUUCUGGCCCUGUCUCACGAGAACCUGAAUAUCUCUUAACAUACUGUCCAUAUGAUCGUUUCGUUACUUUCCUAUGAAAAUAGAUUCAUUAAGGUUCGUUUACAUAAUUUAUUCAUUAUUUAAUUCCAAUCCUACUAUUUUUAGUGAUUUUCCAAAUAUACAUCACUGCUGCUGCCAGCAUCUGCCUUUAGGGUAGACUUUACCUACUUCAUAGUUUCCAUGAUUCAACUAGCCCUUUUAGCAUAAAUAGCACAAAUUAUGAUAGUGAUUAACCAUUCCAUACCAAAUGAUUAUAACAUUAUGCUCAAACAUAUAUAAGCCAUUUUCGCAGGGCUAUAUACAUUAACCAAAAUAUUCCUCCGCCACUAGUCUAUUUUAUACAUGCCAUAAGAUAAUCCAAAACAUAGCAGUACCAAACAGUGGAUAGUGAUAGUGUGACUAGUUGCUGACGAUCCCCGAGCCUGUAGCUUCGCAAUGAGAUCUAUAAAACAGAGGAAACAGAGUAAACGGAGUAAGCAUUACAAUGCUUAGUAAGUUUUAAGCAGUGUCAACAGCUAACAAUCAAAUUAUAACAUAGUUGUUCGUAUUUUUAUUUCACUCUUCCUUCGGGCAUACCAUCCCUUUACCGAAUACGCACAUCUCAUAGAUUGCUCUCGUAUGCAUCACAUAACUACCUUAUGAUUUAGUGCAAAUCAAGCUCACAUAUAAACUUGGAGUACAUACCUAUUUAACCUUUCACAUUGAAUAUAUUUAUAAGCAAUUCUUAUUACGAAGUCUUACCCGGACAUAAUCUCCACACGAAGUUAUCGGGUCUUACCCGGACAAAAUCCCCACACGUAGUCAUCGGGUCUUUAGAGCUCGGAUAUAGUACGAGCACGAAGCUUACGGACAUUAAUCAGUGAUAAUAUUCUCGCAUAAAGCCUGCGGGGUUUUAACCCGGAUAUAGUACUGACACAAAUGCCCUUCGGGACUUAUCACAUUUAUACACUUUCACAUCCAUCACGUUGGCCACUCGACCCUGUCACAUAUAUACUUUCACAUUCAUCACAUCGGCCAUUAGGCCUUAUCACAUAUAUACACUUUCGCAUUCAUCACAUCGGCCAUUAGGCCCUAUCACAUAUAUAUACACUUUCACAUUCAUCACAUCGGCCAUUAGGCCCUAUCACAUAUAUAUACACUUUCACAUUCAUCACAUCGGCCAUUAGGCCUUAUCUCAUAUAUACACUUUCACAAUCAUCACAUCGGCCAUUAGGCCUUAUCACGUAUAUACACUUUCACAUUCAUCACAUCGGCCAUUAGGCCUUAUCACAUAUAUAUACUUUCACAUUCAUCACAUCGGCCAUUAGGCCUUAUCACAUAUAUACACUUUCACAUUCAUCACAUCGGCCAUUAGGCCCCAUCACAUAUAUAUACACUUUCACAUUCAUCACAUCGGCCAUUAGGCCCUAUCACAUAUAUAUACACUUUCACAUUCAUCACAUCGGCCAUUAGGCCUUAUCUCAUAUAUACACUUUCACAUUCAUCACAUCGGCCAUUAGGCCUUAUCACGUAUAUAUACACUUUCACAUUCAUCACAUCGGCCAUUAGGCCUUAUCUCAUAUAUACACUUUCACAUUCAUCACAUCGGCCAUUAGGCCUCAUCACGUAUAUACACUUUCACAUUCAUCACAUCGGCCAUUAGGCCUGAUCUCAUAUAUACACUUUCACAUUCAUCACAUCGGCCAUUAGGCCUUAUCACGUAUAUACACUUUCACAUUCAUCACAUCGGCCAUUAGGCCUUAUCACAUAUAUAUACACUUUCACAUUCAUCACAUCGGCCAUUAGGCCUUAUCACGUAUAUACACUUUCACAUUCAUCACAUCGGCCAUUAGGCCUUAUCACAUAUAUAUACACUUUCACAUUCAUCACAUCGGCCAUUAGGCCUUAUCACAUAUAUACACUUUCACGUUCAUCACAUCUGCCAUUAGGCCUUACUAUCAUUUCAUAUUCGAAUACUCAUAAACUUACAAUACCACGAUUUAGAAUUCAAGUAUGGAUUUAAUCAAUAGCUUAUGAGCAACUAAAACAAGUUUAUCAAGGUUCACAACAUAAUCUCAAAUUCAGCACAAGCUGUUUUUCCUGAGCAAUAGUCACUAAAUUAUUUAUAACUGGAGGUAAAAAACUCCAAAUCACUUUCCGCUAAUUUUUCCUGAAUAUAGACUCGUAUAUCUUCCAUCCAUAAAAUUUCCAGAAUUUUAGGUUUGGCCAAUCAAUACCAGAGUUUUCUUAAAGUUUCCCCUGUUUCACUAUUUGAGUAAUCUGACCACUCUUCACUACGAAUCAAAUUUCUCAUUUUACAGAAUUAGAAAUGUGUUGUAUUUGAUUUCAUUUGAAACUAGACUCAUUAAGGAGUCUAAGCAUAUAAAUUUUAUUUUAUAACCAUUUUUGUACAAUUUAUAAUGAUUUUCUAAAAACAGAACAGAGGAUUACAGUGUCAUUCUGCGCUGUCUCACACAACUUUAAGUAUCUCAUUAUCGGAAAUUCCUUUGCUUACACGGUUUCUUUUAUAAGAAACUAGACUCAUUAAGAUUUAAUUUCAUGUCUCAAUCAGCCUCUAAUUCAAUUCCAUGAAUUUAUGGUAAUUUUCUAAAAUCACGUUACUGCUGCUGUCCGAAGCAGACUAUUUCAAAUUACCCUUAAAUUUCCAAGCUCAAACACUUAAGAACUUACCAUUUGAGCUUAGAACAUAUCAUGGCCACAUCUUAUCUUAUUAAAUCAACUCAUCAUGUCCUAUUAUAAUUGAAUUUACUCAACGUUUAAACACUUAAAACUUACCUCGGAUGUUGUUGAACGAUUUCGGCAGCUAUUCGAUCACUUUUUCCUUUCCUUUAUCCAACUUUGGUCCUCUAAGCUCUUGAGCUUAAUUGAGUAAAUUAAGUAUAUCAACUUCAUAUACUUCACUUAAUCAAAGCAAGAAAUACAAUUAUCCUCACUAUCUCACACAUAUACGUUCAGUCAAUCAUUACUAUGUUACAAGUCUAGCCUAACUUAGGCUAGAUUGAACAUAUAUAAUCUUUUAACUCAAUUUACGAAUCAAGACAUAUUAGUUAUCAAAGGUUGACCAUGAUACACAUAGUGAGCUCCAUUUUUUUAACUCACAUUCGGCACAUAAAAACAUACACAAAAUUUUCCACACAAGCUAGUAUUUUAGCAAUUAAUAUGACACAAGUUAAACCAAAAGUUUACAAUAACAUUACAAGGUACAUACAUAGGGUCCAUAUACAUGUUUAUUUUAAAACACCACCCUUUAAACCCUCUAGCUCUACUUACAAAAGACUCUCAUAACUAAAAUCCAUAAGUCAUCCAAUUCCACCAUUUCAAUAAGUAUUUUAUACCAAAUCUAAUAACUAAAUGUUAUUAAUGAGAUUCAUACCAAGACCGAAUAUUCAUUAACAACCAAAGCAUAUAUUCAACAAUUUAACAAUGUGUUUAACCUCCAUGGCCGAAUAGAUCCUUUCUAUUCCAUUUAACUACCAUAAAUUUAAAAUAUUUAAAUCAAGUUCAUGAGUUUCUAAUUUCAUUACUUCAACCAUUCAAAGCCUAUCUAAUUUCUCAAAUAGAUUUCUAAUACAAGAAUUAAGCCAACCUACUAAUCUUGACACCCACAUUCGGCAAGUGACCACACACACACUCUCAUAACCGAAUUUCCAUACUACUAAAACCUCUAUACACAUAUUCCCCUUAUUCAUCUUCAAUUUAAGCUCCCAACUCAUAAAACAUAAGGAAUAGAAAUCAUCUUCUAAGUUUCCUACCUUAACCGCAUGCCCAAAUCACCACAAGGAUCAAAAUUCACACAUGGGCUCAAUCAAAGACCUAUCCAUCAACUAAAAUUUCAUAAAAUCUCAAAGAAUUUACCUAAAACUUACCUUAAUUAAGAAAGUAGAAGACCGAAUGGCUAGCUUCUUCCCUCCUCCUCUCAAUCCGGCCAAGAAGAACCAAAGAACACAACUUGUUUCCUUUCCUCCUUAGAACAUUCGGCCAAAGAUGUUCAAGGAUGAACACUUUUUUUUUCUUUGUUUCCUUUCUUCCAUUCACGGCAAAGGGGGGGGGGCAUGGAUGAGACCAUUUUUUUUUCAUCACUCCACCUUUUUGCAUUACUUUAAUCCUAACCCCCCUUUUUUUUUAUUCUUUCUAACAUAACUCACUAACACAACAUGUUUGCAACAUGUUUCCACCCAUAGCAUGGCCGGCCACUAUGCUUUAAUUUUGGGUAAUUUGACAUGCAAACCCAUCAUUUCACAACAUGCAUUAUUAGGCCACUUUACAUUUGCCUAGCACAUUUCCAAAUUUUCUCACAUAAGUCCUAUUUGAUAAAAUUCACUUACUAUUAACAAAAUUCAAACAUGAAAUUUUCACACAUGCAUAUGUACAUAUAAUAAGCAUCAACUAUGACGGUUAAUUAUCUUUAUAACUCGGUUUAGUGGUCCCGAAAUCAGUUUCCGACUAGGGUCACUUUAGGGGUGUUACACAUUACAACAGACCCAAGUGGAUCCAGGACAAAACGGGCCCAAUUGGCCCAGCUUGUUACACCAAGGCAUGAAACCCUAGGGUUUCUGCCUUUCUCCUUGCGCCGCAAACAGAAGGUUCCAGAAGCCAAGCCUCAUGACUCUUCAGCUCCUGCUGUUCCAACUACCCCGUCAAGGCCAUGAUUCCAGGCUCCAAGUCACGCCGAGAUCAACGCCACCAGUGGACCAUUGUCAGGCCUUUGCCAUUGCCUAAUUUUUCGCAAGUACCUGCAAGAAAAGGAAAGAAAAUCACAGCAGACAUGUGAAGCAAAUACGGAAAGAAAUCGAUGAUUUCUUUCCAAAACUUGUAGUAGUAGAGGCUAUAAAGCCUUCUUUUUAAUCUGUAAAAACACACGGCGGGAGAGAGACCCAAUAGCAGAAAUACACCCACACAAAAGCAGAGAGAAGAAUAGUAGGGAAUCAAAAAACAAAGAGUUUUUAGAAGCAAAGAGAAACAAAAAAAGAAGGUAUAGGGAUUUACCGAAUAGAAUAGCACGAACCAUUGUAAUCCUUUUGAAACAGCGAAAUAAAAAGCGAAUCUCGUUUUUCAAAGGUAAUCGAAUCGUUUUUUUUAAUUUUAUCUGGUCAUUUACUAACAUGCACACACGCAGAUCUAAAAAAAUAGAAACUAAAAACAGAGGGAGAAGGUUGAUACCUGAGAAUUGGCAAAGAAAAUGGAGGGUUUUUGAAACCCUAACCACCGUAUACAGUGGCUCUGGUGGCGGCUCAUUAAGCGCGUGGAGACCACGCACGCCAGACCCUGGGACGAGCCAGGACGGCCAUGAGGCCGGAGCUCCGAGGGUUGGAGCCCUUUUUUCAGAGGUUUUUUUUAUUUUUUUAAAAAGGAGUUACAGAAUGAUUUUAUUCGGGCAAAAUGGGAUUUAUAUGGGGUCCAAAAUCCGACCCGAUCCGAUCCGAAAGUCCGCGUGUUUUACCGCUAUAGUGGGACAUUUAUUCCCUUGGUCCUUCCGUAUUUUUAGAUUAUUUAAUUUCAUCUGAAACAAAUCUCGUCUUAUUUAAAAUUGGCCCAAAUCUUCUGUUUUCAUUAUAAUUUAGUCCUCUGUUCUUUAAAAAGCUAACCCUGAGAGCGACACCGUUUCAGGGACUAGGGUUAUUUACUCAGUGAGUCCCUGAGCUUUUAGCGUGCAUUCCAAAUUAAUCCAAAUUGUUUUUUAUUUUUUUUAAAAUUAGCCCUAAUAUUCUAUCUAGUUUUAAUUUUAAUCCUUACUUAUUAUCUAUUAUUUUAAUCCUUAAUUCAGUUUUAUUCCUUUCAAAAUUUGCCCCAUAAUUUUGUUAAACUUUAAAUUUAGUCCUAUAUUUAUUAUAUUAUUUCUAUAUAUAUAUUAUUUGUUUAUUUUAAUUUUACUUUUAUAUUAUAUAUUAUAAAAUUAUUUUAUUACAAGUAUUCUUUUUAAUUAUAUAUUAUUAUUACUUAUUAUAUAUAUAUAUUAUUUUCCUUAAAUUAUUAUUUUACAUCUCUUUCAUAUAUUAUUAUAUUUUCACAUAUAUUAUAUUUAUUAAUUACUUAUAUAUAUAUUGUUUAUACGUUACUUUAUAUUAUAUCUAUUAUUUUUCUUAUAUGUUUAUAUUACAUUUUAUUAUAUAAUCUUUAUUAUGUUUUAUUUUUAUAUUAUUUAUUGUUUUUUUAUAUAUAUAUGUUACGUAUAUCAUGUAUCACAAAUUAUAUUAUUUUAUAUCUCUAUUAUUUUAUGAUUAUUAUUAUUAAAUCAUAUUUUUUAACUCACAUUAUACACACAUUUCAUUUUUUAUUUAUUUACUAUAUAUGUAUUAUUUCAUUUUAAACUAAUAUUGUUAUAUUAUGAAAUCUCUUACAUACUUUCAAACCAAUAUAUUAUUAUAUAAUUAUUAUUCUUUUUAUUAUGUAAUUAUAUUAUAUAUUAGAUACUAUUUUAAAAUGGAAAUGAAAUAUCUCGUUUUUAAUUGUAUGUAUAUUUUGUUAGCAAUCAAUCAUUUUUUAUUAGUUCUUCUAUAUGUUUUGUAUUGUAUGUAUCAUGCAUGUGUUAAAUUUUUUAUAAUUAUAUGCAUAUUGACAUUACAUUUAUUCUAUUUGUAUAUCAUGAAUUAUUUGAUUAUGUUUGUUUUUAUAUCAUGCAUCAUUUAAAUAUUAUCUCAUAUGAUUAUAUAUCUUAUUUAUUCAUACUAUAUAUCUUUGUUUGCAUUUUUUUUGCUUUAUAUGUAUUAUUCUUUAUAUUGUAGUAUUCAUUUUUUAUUUACCUAGUACAAUAAUAUAUUAUUAUGAUUUAUAAUGCAAUACAAUUCUCCAUGCAUCAUUUUUAAAAAGACAAGUCUCCAAAAUUUUCAAAAAAUAUAAAGGCAAUACUUGGUGUUUGGAAAUUUCAAAAAGUAGUGCCCUAACUUAUUGGGUUGCAACUUUUCUCGUCAAGUUCGAAUAGUCAAGUACCCUUCUAAAGUUUUUAAAGGAUUUCAAAAUAUAAGUGACUGUCUUGGAAUUGCAAAGUGAUAUGUCCUAACUUACUGGAUGUAGCAUUCUGCUGUUUUGAGAUAGAGAUUUCUAAAGGCUAACCUAUAGUCGAUACUUUGAUACAAGUAAACCCAAAUUUUCAAAUACUUUAAAGAGGAUUACAUCUUAAAAUUUUUAAUUUCCGACAUUAGAGACAUUUUGAUAAUCAAUUAGGUACCAAUUUUUGGGCGUUACGAGGGUGCUAACCCUUCCUCGUGCGUAACCGACUCCCGAACCCAUUUUUUGAUUUCGUAGACCAAAACCAACAAUUUUAAAACAAAUGUUUAAAAGGUGAUCGAAUCACACCUAAAAAGAUUGGUGGCGACUCCCGUUUUCAUUUUUCUUAAAGUCGAUUCCCAUUUUCCAAAACUCGAUUUGAAAAUGGUUUCGACAGCUUGGCGACUCUACUGGGGACUAAUAAGAGAGUCAAGCCGUGUAAUUGAUUAUCUCUUGUCUUAAUGUCGGUAAUUAAAAAUUUUAAAAUUUAAUCUUCUUUGCAUUACAUGUGUUUGUGUUCUUGCAUGUGUUGCUAUAUUCUAAUACGCAUUGCAUUUGCAUGACUGUUGUGGUCACACCCUUAAGUGGGAGUGAGAAGCUACGCCUUCGUGAGGUUUUCGCCUCCGUGCAGGAUAGUGGAUCACUUUCGGGAUACAUCCGUACCUAUGGUUUCGUGAGAUUUUCAUCUCCAUGUAGCCAUAGGGAAAUGUGUCCCCCUGAACUGAACUCGAUUCAAAUGAGCCUAUAAUGGGUGAGGAUCGAGGAAUCUGCUGGUUCAGGUACCUCAACUUUAGAACUAAACCACAUAUAGAAGGAUCGUAAGAGCUCAACCUAGAUAGAAUUAUACCGUAAUUAUUACCCUUGUAGGUUAUCUUUGAGUUUAUUGUUAUCAUGUGAUACUAACUAUCUCCUUUCUUUUGUUGCAUAUCAUUUCGCAUUUAAAAGGUAUCGAUUUUCGGUCAGUUUCUAAGUUAGAGAGCUUUAUUAUGGAGAACGAUCUUCUUGAUAGAGUGGAAGACAACGCUAACGUCCAUAUAUGGUCAGAGCAAACUCAGUUAGUAAAGGAAAAUAGUCUAGCCAUGCGAUAUGUGUCAGAGCUGUCAGACUACAUUCGUAUCACAUAGGAUAAUCAGCAUGAGUUAAAGGAAAUAUGGGAUCAAUGGGGUAGCGAAGCCAAGCAGUUGUUCUACAACAACCAUUGGGACUUGCAGUACUUGCUUGACUUGGGAACAGACGAGAAUUUGUUUCGGGCUAUCACUCAGUAUUGGAAUCUUGUAUACAGUUGCUUUACAUUUGGAAAAGCCUAUAUGGUACCCGUGGUGGAGGAAUAUUCAAUUUUGUGGCGUUAUCCUAUGACUCAAGUUGAUAAAGUUUACUCAAGGGCUAACUAUAUUCCAACCUUUGUGAGGAAUUUGAUGAAUGUCAUAGGGAGAGGGAGUGAGCUAAAAUGGAAAGAGCAGGAGGGAAAAGGGGCAGUCUUGGAAUUCCUGCCUCUUCUGCCACUAGUGCGUCUUAAUGUUGUUUCCAAUCAAAGUAGAAUUGGAUACGAAGAAGAUUGUUCGAAACCCUAUGGCAAGGCGUGCUGCAGGGCAAAAGGUAAUGUACUCACCAAUCAUUUUAAGGUGAACAAGAAGAGUAUUGAUGGACAUUUCCACCAUUACAACAUUUCUCUUUCAUAGGGAUGGUCGAUGGUAAGAGUGUUGGAAGAAAAGUGAUUGACAGAAUGCGUGAACCUACAAAGGUGAGUUGGAUGGAAAGAAUUGUGCCUAUGAUGGUAAAAGGCUUAUUUAUUAUAGGACCAAACCAAGCAUGAGUUCACUAUGUUGCACUUAUCAGAGAUAAUGGAAAUGCAAGCCCUGAUGAUCUGUCAAAAUGGACGUAAAAGAAUGAGAUUAAAGAAGUCCAUAUCAUUUAAAAGACCUUUAAAGUAGAGAUUAACUAUGCUGAGAAGAUACCCAUCUAAGCAUUUCAAAAUGCUUUGCGUGGACAAGAAUCUGAAAGCUCUCAAGAAACCCUAAAUGUGUUGAAUAUCAUUUUAAGGUAGCAUGUUAAGCAGGAAUGCCCACUUGUUUUCCAAUCUUUCUUUCAAGAUAAUCAGAACAACUUCACAGAAGAGGUGUCCAUAGAUGUAGGGAUUAUCUUAUGGGUGAAGCCAUAGCUCAAAUUAGGGAUGGUAGUAGAUCAUUUACGGACCAUGAAGGUACAAGCUGAUACAUUGAGCACAGUCAGAUCAUUGUCAAGAGUUAGCUUUGUUGAGUUAAAACUUUGGGCCAUAGGACGAAGGCGUAUUUGUAAUCCAUUCAUAUGUAAAGAUAUUCUUUUUCUAAAUAAAGUUUUCUAAAUGAAAUUAAGUCGAGAUCGAUACCUUUUUGCAUUCAUGCAUUUGUAUUACAUCACAUCGCAUUAUAUGCAUUUAAAUUAUAAAAAGACCAUAAUUAGUUAAAGUUAUUAAAAAAGAAAGAAAAGGAGAGAGAGAGAGAAGAGGGUCAUGGCUAAGUGAAAAAGAGACGUUCCCUUACAUAUCCCUGACUUUUGUGUCAAGAGGGAUAGCUUACCCAGAGAAGGGGGUGUUUGGAAAUGAAAAUAAUCCCAUCAAUGUCAUACAUGAGGAAGGGACUGAACAAAGAAACCUUGAGGGCAUUCGCCCUUACGAACCAGGAAGUUCUUUAAACAGUUGGACUGCAGAAGAACUUCCUGUAAUCUUUAGGAAUUUUACGGAGUAAUAUUCAGAACACUCUUGUUGCUCUAAAGCCUAGGAGUAAUGAGAUUUCUUUUGAGAAGUGGGCUCAUGUUCAGACAUUUUUGUUUUCAAUAAAACAUACUUUUAUUAUUUAUCCGAGUAAAUAUUCUUCCAUUCUGAUUCUUUUGACCUUUGACAUUCUUUAUAAAUUUUCAUUUCAUGUAAAUAGUCAUUUUUGAAUUCAUUUAUUCCUUGUAUAUUCUUUUGUGUGCCUAUCAUAGAUCCCUAGAUAUCAAUGACAUGGGCAAUGAUACUAUAGAUUCAGAGUUCCUUUUGAGUGCGAUAUGUGUUUAGAAAAAUCUCAGUACUUUGAAGGUGACAGAAAUUGUGACUUGUUUUUGAAUUUGUUGAAAAUGGUUUUUACCCCAUGAAGUGGUGGUAGGAAAUAUAGCCUUAGAGGAAGGAAAGAUUGCGAAAUUGGAAUUAGCUGAGGAGACAAAACAAGACCUUGUUGAGACUAUUAUGGGAAUUCAAAAAAUAUGGUCUAAAGACGCAUGCAGGAGGAUUUGCAAUUGCCAGGAUAAACAUGAGGGUUUGGGGCACUGUUGGUCCACCAUGGAAAGGGAUUGCAUCAGUUGUACAAUGAAUGCCAAAUUUAAAGGAGUAAAGACUUAUGGGGCAUGUAUGUUAUGGGCCCGAGCUCAUCAAAAGUUUCAAGCUGACAAUGACUCAUCUUUGUAGAUGUUAACUACUCCAUUAAGAGGGGGAGAUAGCUUCAUAUGCCAAUAUUACAAAGUCAAAAGUCAUCUAUUUCAAAAAAAGAAGAAGCAAAAAGAUAAUAUAUAACUGCAUAAUGCCAAAAGUUUGCAGUCUUUUCAAAGAUAAUGCGCCAUACCACAGUACAACAAAGGUUGCCAAAAGAAAAGAAAAAGAAGAAAAAACAAAUUACAAAAGAUGACCGAGACUGGUAAAAAUUGGCAUAAGAAACUACCGCCUACUCUCUAUGCUUACGCUAGGGCAAACACCUUCAAUUCCAGUUGUUUCAAAGGUUCCAACCAUCAUCCUUGGAAUGGGUGCAUUGUUUGGCUUUCCUGAGCAGUCUGAUGUGCCGUCAAUAGCUGCGAUGGUUAGCUCCAGGCGGUGGCCAUUGAUUUUUAGCUAUGGGGCAUCUGGCCGUACACAGUCUCUGAAGCUUAAAAUGAUAGAUUCUUUCUUCAAAACCAGUUUCUGACAAAGUUGAUGACGGUAUCAUAAAGGAAGCUCUCUUAGACUUCUAUACAAGUUCAGAGAAGAGGAAACCUGAUCAAAUCAUUAUUUUCAGGGAGAGGGUUAGCGAGUCUCAAUUCAAUCAAGUUUUGAUCAAGUUAUUGAGGCUUGCAAGUUCCUUGGCGAGAAGUGGAACCCUAAAGAUUGUGGUUAUUAUUGUACGAAAAACCAUCAUACCAAAUUUUUUUUCAGCAGGGAUCUCCUGACAAUUUGCUACAUGGUACUGUCAUUGACAACAAAGUAUGCCAUCCAAAGAACAAUGAUUUUUACCUUGAUACCCAUGCUGGAAUGAUUGGAAUCACGAGGCAGACCCACUAUCAUGUUCUCUUAGACCAGGCUGGGUUUUCGGCUGAUGAUCUGCAAGAGUUUGUUCAUUCUCUAUCCUACAUGUAUCAAAUGAACACUACAGCCAUAUUUGUUGUGCCUCCUAUUUGCUACGCUCAUUUGGCAGCUUCACAGUUGGGGGCAAUUUAUGAAGAUUAGGGAUGCUUUAGAAACAUCAUCGAGUCAUGGUGGGAUGUAUGCUCCAGGAGUAAUCUCUGUACCUCAGCUUUCCAGGUUGAAGGAUAAAGUCAGCAAUUUCAUUCUUGUCUGCUGAGAAUCAUUGAACCAUAUUUUUGUAGGGUUUGACAAACAACAGCCAGGACGGCUGCUGGGGUAAUCCCUUUCUCAUGGGUUUAUGAAUCAAGAUUUUUCCUCCAAGCUUUGAUGGAGUCAAGAAUUGAAUACCUCUAGUAAACUUAACUUGAAAAUAUUCAUCCUAAGCAAAUGUACCAAGAAUGGAUGACACAGAUUUAUGACAAAGAAGGUUCGUCCAAAAGAAUCUCAUAAAGGAAACCUUGCAAAAGGAUGCCGAAUUGGGAAGGGCCAUAUGUUACGAAGAGGGCUUUCUCUAGAGGUGUAUUGAUUUUGACAAGAAAUGGAUAGGAAGAAUUUAUCUGAUCCAGUGAAUUCGGACUCAGUCAAAGAGUAUUUUGUUUGAAGGAGAAGAGAAGCCAAGGUGAAAACCCGCAAAGGGCACUUUGGGACUUCUAUUUCAAAAAAAAAAAGAAAAAGAAAAGAAAAAGAGAAAAAAGUAAAGAGAAAAAAGAAAAAGAUGGAGAGGCCAAGGUGAAAACCCGCAAAGGGCGCCUUGAGACCAAAGGGGUUUUGAGUAAAGGGCAGCUCAAAUUUGGAAAGUCAUGCAGUGACCUUGCUAUACCGGAUUCGACGAGAAGUGAAGUAUGUUACAUAUCGAGGCAUCAACGAAUUACUUUGGAUCUUUUAAACACAUGUUGAACUCAAGAAAGUCUUCAUGGAGCUGGUGUAUAGACGCUCAAGCGGCGAUAUCUGGGGCAUCUGAUUUUUUGUCCUGUUUACUAUCUUUGGAUUCUCUUUCUUCUCAAAGAUAGAUUCCUAGAUUAACCUCUUUUAUCUUUUUGAUAAAUCAUUAUCCUCAAGAUCAAUUUAUUCGUCCCAUUAUUCAUAAAGUGUGUUGCAUAGAAAUAAUGAUUGAUGAACUAAAUAUCUUUACAAACGAAGUUUUGCAUAUUACUCUGGAAAUUUCUAGAUAAUACAAGAAACUGAAACAAGUCAAUUGUUUAAAGAAUUUCCAUAUUUGAGGGUCGGAUGUACUCGGGGAAAUUUCUUCUUCAGUCCAAAAGGUGGUGGGACAUUUUAAAUUGAUCUUAAGAAAGGAUCAGUUCAUAAACAUCUCCAGCGGGUCACAACAUUUGGAGAAUGGCACAAUAGGACUAAGUUGAUUCAAAGCAUACAAGUAGAGUAUAAUUGAUACAUCAAGAAGUAUAAAGUUAAAACUUCGAUGAGGGAAUGAGUGAUGACGCUCGAAAUAAGGGUCAUAUUCAUAAUAUUUUGCAUUAUAACAUGACUAAUUAGGAGAAUUUGACUCACUUCGAUCAUAGGCAUGAACUCAUACGCAUUCUACAGGUUAUGUCUUUUAUUGGACAAUGUAGAUCAAAGAAACAAGAUUUGGCAUCCCUAUGUUUAUAGGGAACAGAUCAAAGAUAGUAGAUCUGACAUUCCUGUGUUUACAGUGAAGCAGAUUGAAGAUUUCAGCAUGGCAUCCCUGUGUUUAUAGGGAACAAGUUGAAGAUAGCAGAUUUGGCAUCCCUGUGUUUAUAGGGAACAGAUCGAAGAUAGCAGAUCUAACCUUCAGAUGUUUAUACUGAAGCAGAUCCAAGAUGAUUUGGCAUUCUUGUGUUUACAAGGAACAAAUCGAGGACAUAGUAGAUUUGACUCUCAGACGUUCUCAAAGAUAGCAGAUCUAACCUUCAGAUGUUUAUACUGAAGCAGAUCCAAGAUGAUUUGGCAUUCUUGUGUUUACAAGGAAUAAAUCGAGGACAUAGCAGAUUUGACUCUCAGGCGUUCUCAAAUAUAGUAGAUCUAACCUUCAAAUGUUUAUACUGAAGCAGAUCCAAGAUAAUUUGGUAUUCUUGUGUUUACAAGGAACAAAUCGAGGACAUAGCAGAUUUGACUCUCAGAUGUUCUCAAAUAUAACAGAUCUAACCUUCAGAUGUUUAUACUGAAGCAGAUCCAAGAUGAUUUGGUAUUCUUGUGUUUACAAGAAACAAAUCAAGGACAUAGCAGAUUUGACUCUCAGACGUUCUCAAAUAUAGCAGAUCUAACCUUCAGAUGUUUAUACUGAAGCAGAUCCAAGAUGGUUUGGCAUCCUUGUGCUUACAAGGAACAAAUCGAGGACAUUGCAGAUAUGACUCUCAAAUAUUCUCAAACAGACUCAAGAUGGUUUGGCAUCCUUGUGCUUACAAGGAACAAAUUGAGGAUAUUGCAGAUAUGACUCUCAAAUGUUCUCAAACAGACUCAAGAUGGUUUGGCAUCCUUGUGCUUACAAGGAACAAAGCGAGGACCUUGCAGACAUGACUUUCAAAUGUUCUCAAACAGACUCAAGAUGGUUUAGGCAUCCUUGUGCUUACAAAGGAAAAAAAUGAGGACGUAACAGAUAUGAUUCUCAAAAGUUCUCAAAUAGAUCAAGAUGAUUUGGCAUAUCUACAAAUCGAAGAAGCAAAUUUUGCGGGGAGCAGAUUGAAAAUUCAAGGUUCGGCGAGCCCGGGCAAAAUUGGCUCUUUUAUAUCUUUGCUUUAUUCCUGUUAUAUAGCAAUGAGCAAAGAGGUGCAGCUGUAAUACCUCAAUUUUGCCCAGCCCAUUGGAAGCCAAGGCAAAAUCCAAAAUUUCAAAAUAUAAAGUCUCUUAACAGUCUUUUACCCAACUACAAAAGCCUAAACGGCAGGCCCAAAUACAAGAGACCUUACCCAGUUACAAUAACCAGCAGGCCCACUAUUACAUCCUACCCAGAUACACUAAAACUAAGACCCAUUACAACAGGCCCAAGUAGACCCAGGACAAAACGGGCCCAAGUGGCCCAGCUUGUUACACCAAGGCAUGAAACCCUAGGGUUUCUGCCUUUCUCCUUGCGCCGCAAACAGAAGGUUCCAGAAGCCAAGCCUCAUGACUCUUCAGCUCCUACUGUUCCAGCUACCCCGUCAAGGCCAUGAUUCCAGGCCCCAAGUCACGCGAGAUCAACGCCACCAGUGGACCAUCGUCAGGCCUUUGCCAUUGCUGGAUUUUUCGCAAGUACCUGCAAGAAAAGGAAAGCAAAUCACAGUAGACAUGCGAAGCAAAUACGGAAAGAAAUUGAUGAUUUCUUUCCAAAACUUGUAGUAGUAGAGGCUAUAAAGCCUUCUUUUUAAUCUGUAAAAACACACGGCGGGAGAGAGACCCGAUAGCAGAAAUACACCCACACAAAAGCAGAGAGAAGAAUAGUAGGGAAUCAAAAAACAAAGAGUUUUUAGAAGCAAAGAGAAACAAAAAAAGAAGGUAUAGGGAUUUACCGAAUAGAAUAGCACGAACCAUUGUAAUCCUUUUGAAACAGCGAAAUAAAAAGCGAAUCUCGUUUUUCAAAGGUAAUCAAAUCGUUUUUUUAAUUUUAUCUGGUCAUUUACUAACAUGCACACACGCAGAUCUAAAAAAAUAGAAACUAAAAACAGAGGGAGAAGGUUGAUACUUGAGAAUCGGCAAAGAAAAGGGAGGGUUUUUGAAACCCUAACCACCGUAUACGGUGGCUCUGGUGGUGGCUCAUUAAGCGCGUGGAGACCACGCACGCCAGACCUUGGGACGAGCCA